rnacentral:rRNA from 1 species
UAGGGAAUCUUCCGCAAUGGACGCAAGUCUGACGGAGCAACGCCGCGUGAGUGAAGAAGGAUUUCGGUUCGUAAAACUCUGUUGUUAGAGAAGAACAGCGCAUAGAGUAACUGUUAUGCGUGUGACGGUAUCUAACCAGAAAGCCACGGCUAACUACGUGCCAGCAGCCGCGGUAAUACGUAGGUGGCAAGCGUUGUCCGGAUUUAUUGGGCGUAAAGCGAGCGCAGGCGGUUAGAUAAGUCUGAAGUUAAAGGCAGUGGCUCAACCAUUGUAGGCUUUGGAAACUGUUUAACUUGAGUGCAGAAGGGGAGAGUGGAAUUCCAUGUGUAGCGGUGAAAUGCGUAGAUAUAUGGAGGAACACCGGUGGCGAAAGCGGCUCUCUGGUCUGUAACUGACGCUGAGGCUCGAAAGCGUGGGGAUCGAACAGG